UACGUAGGGUGCAAGCGUUGCCCGGAUUUAUUGGGCGUAAAGGGCGCGCAGGCGGCCGAGCACGUCCGUUGUGAAAUCGCCUGGCUCAACUGGGCGGGUCAGCGGAUACGGCUAGGCUGGAGCAAGCUAGGGGGCAAUGGAAUUCCCGGUGUAGUGGUGGAAUGCGUAGAUAUCGGGAGGAACACCAGUGGCGAAGGCGGUUGCCUGGAGCUUUGCUGACGCUGAGGCGCGAAAGCGUGGGGAGCGAGUCGG
rnacentral:rRNA from 1 species